rnacentral:tRNA from 1 species
AAGAAAAUAGUUUAAACAAAAACACUAUACCGAUAAUAUAACAAUGUAAACACAAUUACUUUUCUAA